AAUCCAGCAUUCUUUAGAGUUCCCAUUGUGGCACAGUGGAAACGAAUCCGACUGGGAACCAUGAAGUUGCGGGUUCGAUCCCUGGCCUUGCUCAGUGGGUUAAGGAUCUGGCGUUGUGUGGCUGUGGUGUAGGCCAAUGGCUACAGCUCCAAUUAGACUCCUAGCCUUGGGAACCUCCAUGUGCCGCGGGUGCAGUGACAAAAAGACAAAAAAAUAAAAGUAAAAUGAACCAUGAGAUGCACUCCAAAAUGAAAAUCAUAUAAUCUGUGACUAUCCACCCUGUUACUAAAUAAAUCUCCAAAAUUACUGUCUUUUUAUAUGUAUUACUCUGGAAGUCAGUCAUGAAGCUCUAUGGAUGUAUACAAUGGUGUAUGUUUCUUACUAUUUCUCUGUGGAAGUAAUCUGUCUGCAAGCAAUUGCACCAGUCUACAAGCGGCUGAACUGGUCUUGAAGAGCCAACACUUAAACUUAAAUGAAAAAACCCGUGAAAUAAAUUUUAUUAUCAUGAAAAUUAAAGCAACCUCUGAUCAAAUUUAAGCAAAAAUAAGUAAGACUAUAUUUAAAAUCCUUAGAUCUGGAAAUACUAAACUACUAUGUCAAAAAAAAAUCUAAAAAACCAAAGACAUACAAAUUAUUUUUUCAUGGGACAACUUAGCUCAGAAUUAAUCGUUCUGAAAAACUCUGUGCAUUUUUCAUAAUCUGGAAAGAACGGGCACACCAAUAUAAAAGUGGACACAUUUUUGCAUGCCAGUUAUAACAGAUGAACACAAAAAGACAUGAAAUCUAUUGAGACUAUGUAAGGUAUAACUACAAAGUAAUAUAACAUUUUAAAUCUAUUUUAAACCAUAUUUUAGACUUUUGCAGACAAAUAAGUAUGGUUCUUCAAAGAGCUAAGCUUAAGAAACCAUGUACUCAUCUCCCUGUUGCUACUAUUGCUUAAAAUACUUUGGAAUCCCUCUUUUGUAAUCCUCCAAUCUAUGACUGACCCAAGAAAACAGACUGGUUACUUCAGUUCCACAAUUUGUGUUGCCCUCCACUUCCACUCCCCUUUUGACUACCUGCUUGUUUUAUCACCGGACUUGGCUCCAAUAUAUCUUUUGCCUAUUUUGAAAUAUAAAGACUUUCUUCGAAGUUAGAAAAUUUGCCCACUGAGGUUAUCAAGAGUAUGCCUCAGGCUCCAUGGCAGCUCCUAAGGAGACAUUCCUGAAAUAUUCUAAGCAAUUUCAGAAUCAUUGAAGGGGGUUUACACCUUGGAAAAUGACUAUGCUGAAUUAGAUUUAACACCCCUUUAUAUACAAAGUUUUAUUUUUAAAAAAAUGAAUUAGUGAGUUCCCUGGUGGCCAAGCAGUUAAGGAUCCAGUGUUGUUACUGCUAUGGCUCAAGUCUGAUCCCUGGCCUGGGACCUUCCACAUGCCAUGGGCGUGGCCAAAAAAUUGAAUUAGUUUCUAGCUAUCUGACUGACAAAUGUUACCUCAAAUAAGUAAAAAUAUAAAUGAAACAGUUUUAGACAUUCCAUUUCAUCCAGAUAUAUAUCGAGGAUCAACGGCUUUUCUAAAAAUUUGGGAAAAAAAAUAACUGAAAUUAACAAGAGGACUUUUUUCCACAGAGCAACUAUUUAAACUGACAAUAAAAGCUGGACAAAGCAAUCAAUUUUGUUACAUAAGCCCACUGAGAGGAAAUAUCAAAAGUAGAAAGAAUACAGCUUGGUAAAACAAGAGUCAGUGAGAUCCUUUCCUCCCUCUAUGUCAGAAGAGCAUCCAUUUAAGAAGGUGUACCCUUUAAUCUACUUCUUUAAUAAUCUGUUUUCUUUAUGUGAUGAAACUCAUAUUACACCAGACAACCAGAUUAUCUAGGUUUUGAUGAGUACCAUAUACGUCUCUGUCCUAUUUUGAGGUCUCU
ensembl:lncRNA